rnacentral:antisense_RNA from 1 species
GUUACACAAGGGGUACCAAAGUCCACCCUGAGCUUUUCCUCUGGGAACAGAUUCCAGAUUAUUCCAGACUUAAGACAUGGAGAUAUAUCUUGCUAGAGCUUUCUCCUUCCUAGUGAUAAGAUAACCCUCAAAACUCAAGAUAAUACUCAAAUAAGUUAAAACUCAAGACUAAGUGGGACUUGCUCUAAACCCCGAAGUCUUAAGGAUGACACUGUACUGCUACUUAGCACAUAGAAGAUUCCACUGUACAUGCAAGAAAUCAUUAUUGGACACCAUUCAGGCAUUGGCAAAGAGAAGAGAGAAAGAGAGAGUGAAAGGAGAGCUGGCUUGCUACCUGCAAUUGGCCAGAGUCAGACCAAGCCCAUCUAGUCAGGAGAGCCCAUUAUUUGUUCAUCAACUACUUCAGUGCUAUGGGACAUGGAAAGGUGAAGCAGCAGGACUCUACGGAGCCACAGGGGCCAGUGUUUCAGCCACUGUUUCACUGG